rnacentral:rRNA from 1 species
AACAGGAUUAGAUACCCUGGUAGUCCACGCCGUAAACGAUGAGUGCUAAGUGUUAGAGGGUUUCCGCCCUUUAGUGCUGCAGCUAACGCAUUAAGCACUCCGCCUGGGGAGUACGGUCGCAAGACUGAAACUCAAAGGAAUUGACGGGGGCCCGCACAAGCGGUGGUGCAUGUGGUUUAAUUCGAAGCAACGCGAAGAACCUUACCAGGUCUUGACAUCCUCUGACAACUCUAGAGAUAGAGCGUUCCCCUUCGGGGGACAGAGUGACAGGUGGUGCAUGGUUGUCGUCAGCUCGUGUCGUGAGAUGUUGGGUUAAGUCCCGCAACGAGCGCAACCCUUGAUCUUAGUUGCCAGCAUUUAGUUGGGCACUCUAAGGUGACUGCCGGUGACAAACCGGAGGAAGGUGGGGAUGACGUCAAAUCAUCAUGCCCCUUAUGACCUGGGCUACACACGUGCUACAAUGGAUGGUACAAAGGGCUGCAAGACCGCGAGGUCAAGCCAAUCCCAUAAAACCAUUCUCAGUUCGGAUUGUAGGCUGCAACUCGCCUACAUGAAGCUGGAAUCGCUAGUAAUCGCGGAUCAGCAUGCCGCGGUGAAUACGUUCCCGGGCCUUGUACACACCGCCCGUCACACCACGAGAGUUUGUAACACCCGAAGUCGGUGGAGUAACCGUAAGGAGCUAGCCGCCUAAGGUGGGACAGAUGAUUGGGGUGAAGUCGUAACAAGGUAACC